rnacentral:rRNA from 1 species
UACAGAGGUCCCAAGCGUUGUUCGGAUUCACUGGGCGUAAAGGGUGCGUAGGCGGUCGGGUAAGUCUGAUGUGAAAUCUCACAGCUUAACUGUGAAACUGCAUUGGAUACUAUCCGGCUCGAGGAAUGGAGGGGAGACUGGAAUACUUGGUGUAGCAGUGAAAUGCGUAGAUAUCAGGAGGAACACCGGUGGCGAAGGCGGGUCUCUGGGCCGUAACUGACGCUGAGGAGCGAAAGCGUGGGGAGCGAACAGG